CUAUGCCGAAUUUUCUUAUAGGGAUCCAAAAAACUGUUGGUUGCUUGGAAUCAAUUGUGCUUGCCUAAGCAAAAAGGUGGACUCAGCUUUAGAAACAUUAAAAGUUGGAAGUUAGGGACAACAUUAUUAGGCCGCAACAUGAGGUGCAAGCUAGUAUAGACAGGUUACUUGGCAGGACAAAAGUUGGCAAAUUCAGCACAAUGGCUGCCUACGAGUUUUUUAGGCUAAAAUGAGCUAAAGUAGUCUGGGCAACCUUCGUUUGGGACGAAUCUAUCACUCCUAAGCAUGCUUUCUGUUUGGGCCAAAUCGCAAACAAAAGAUAGAUUACAAUAUCUUCAAAUGAACCGAAACUGCUCUCUUUGUGGACUAAUGGUGGAAACUGCCCAUCAUCUUUUCUUUUCAUGCCCGAUUAGCAAAGAUGAUUGGGACCAAAUUUGUGGUUGGUUGGCUAUAAGGUGUAACAUGUUUACUUUGUUGAGCUCAUUAAAUUGGAUGAAAAAGGAAGCCCGAGGAAAGAGUUGGCAAAGUAAAGCAAAACGUAUAACACUUGCAACUACAAGUAUUUUUGAAGACCUUAAGCCGCAAGUUGACUCUAUUGUU
rnacentral:lncRNA from 1 species